rnacentral:lncRNA from 1 species
AUUCUCUUGAACUCUCGAAGGCAAGACCUGGUGCUGAAUUUUGCAGGCUCCACAAGCAAUUUAGUCUGUAGAAAAGAAAUAGCAAAAUUUCAUUAUCACAUAUGAAGUAAAAAAAUGAAACCUCCCUAGUAGUCAUGAAUGACUGACAUAACAUAUUUGGAGAGAAAAGUUAAAUUGAAAGAAAAAGUUGAAGAGAAUUACUGUAAAGUGUGUUGGGAAUGAAAAUUUUGAAGGCUUCUUUGAUUUUGGAUCAGGAUUCAAAUUCUCAUGGUUGAAAACUGCAACAUAGGCAUCCAUGACUUCAUCAUUGACUUUGCCAAUUGGUUUUAGACCGUUGUAGAACUUUUCAUAUGACACCGUUAGGUCAUUGAAAUAUAGAACAGUGGGACUGCAAAGACCAAAUGAUAAAAAUGGAGAUAGAUUAUUUGCAUUAGUACCAAAAGUCGUGAAAUGCACGACUCCAAGAACUUGAUUAGUUACGAAUGUGUACAACAAACUUACUUGCCUUUGAAGAACUUGUAGUUUAGGUACUUUUGGUAAAACUUGUCAACAGCUGGUUCUAGAUUCAAUGUUGAUAAUGGAGAUGCAGGGGACAACUUUUUUGCUUUUCUUUUCUUCCCGUUUUUUUUUCUCGAUGGUACUACGACCAGAUAGAACAUUUGGAGUACUUGUCUCAUUAACAUCAGAG